rnacentral:rRNA from 1 species
CUACGUGCCAGCAGCCGCGGUAAUACGGAAGGUCCGGGCGUUAUCCGGAUUUAUUGGGUUUAAAGGGAGCGUAGGCUGGAGAUUAAGUGUGUUGUGAAAUGUAGACGCUCAACGUCUGACUUGCAGCGCAUACUGGUUUCCUUGAGUACGCACAACGUUGGCGGAAUUCGUCGUGUAGCGGUGAAAUGCUUAGAUAUGACGAAGAACUCCGAUUGCGAAGGCAGCUGACGGGAGCGCAACUGACGCUGAAGCUCGAAGGUGCGGGUAUCGAACAGGAUUAGAUACCCUGGUAGUCCGCACAGUAAACGAUGGAUGCCCGCUGUUGGUACUUGGUAUCAGCGGCUAAGCGAAAGCAUUAAGCAUCCCACCUGGGGAGUACGCCGGCAACGGUGAAACUCAAAGGAAUUGACGGGGGCCCGCACAAGCGGAGGAACAUGUGGUUUAAUUCGAUGAUACGCGAGGAACCUUACCCGGGCUUGAAUUGCAGAGGAAGGAUUUAGAGAUA